rnacentral:lncRNA from 1 species
GCUCCCCCUGGCAAAUCAGGAAGAUUCCAGAAUCAGCGGUCCCCACUGGCAACGGGCCCUUCACGAGGGGCUGCCCCCACGCGGGGACCACACUCCGGCCUGCGGGAGCCCCCGCCCCCUGCCGCCUGGCUGGCCCCCAAGGCUUCCGCCCGUCGCCCACCACUUGCCUACCCCACCCACCCCUCCUCACCCUUCGGUCCGUCCAUCCAGUGGUUCUCCUCUUCCUUGCAUGCGCACUUUCUGUAUCAGGAUUUUUCACUGAACAUCUGUGUGUUUUCUCGUGCGAUUUUUAACGGCUGCCUCGUGCUCCGACAGACGCGGCCCUGGGGCUCGGGCUCUUUGCAGUCCCUCCAUUGCGAAUCCAUCGCGAAGUCUCUGUCCACGUUUCUCGGCUGUUUCCGGGGCCUGUCCUCACACGUGCGUCUCCCCCGCCAGGAGUCUCUGCGCACCAUCCGCAAGCUCAGCGCCUUCCUGCAUUGCGUGCUGGGGCCGCGGGAGGAGAACGAGGUCCUGCAGCACCGCAGCUUCUCCUUCAUGAGCUGCAGCAGCGCCACCAACUGCAGCCUCGUUCCCCAGCGGGGGCAGGUUCCUGCGCAAAGGGGCUGUGGGGGACUGGAAGGGCCACUUCACCCCCGAGCUGAACGCGAAGUUCAACGCCAUCUAUCAGACCAAGCUGCGCGACCUGGCGCCUCACCUGCCCUGGACGAUGGACUGACCGGCCCGGGCCCACGUGCCCUCCCCUCCCCCCCCACGCCGGCGGCCUGACCACCCGGCAGGGCCCUCGCCCGGGGCCUCCUGAGCUCCUACCCACCCCUCUUUGCCCGUCCGACCUCUGCCCUCUGCUGCCUUCUCCUCUGGGACGUGUGGACGAAGGCGAGCCCCGGGCACCCCCUCCCCCUGGAGCCUGGAGACCCCCAGCCCACCCGCCAGGCUAUGAUCCCAGUGUCCCCUCCCCACUCCAAACCAAAGACAACCCUGUGGCCCCCAGGCUACAGCCUCUGGCAAGAGAAAGGGAGGGGCUUGUGGGGCCGUGCGGCCAUCUCCCCACUUGUUAGGGGGCGCAGGGGCCACCCCAGAGAGGCUGGCAGGAAGGGGGGCUGCCAAGGAUGGGCUUAGGUGAGCACGAGGUCCUCCUGUCACCCCCUGGGCAUGUGUGGGCAGCAAAUUCCAGGCUCAGGGGAGGAGGGAGGGAGGCACUUGGGGUGGGGUGUGCCUGGGAAGGGAGCCGGGAGCCCCCCAGCCCUUGCCCUGCCCCAGGGCUGGGAUCCUAGAAACACUGGCUUCACCAAAAGUGGGUGCAUCGGCCCACGUAGCUGGCUUCAGGGGCAGCUCGAUUCAGGGCUCCAUGUUUUGGGGCGAUUAUUCCCUCUUUGCUUCAGAGAACACCCCCUUGACUGGGUCUAAUGAGCUCGAGCUCCGGCCUUGUAUGGGUGGCUGGGGGGGGGGGUCCCUUCGUUGGGGGCACAGUGAGCUGCACAGCAUGCCAGUGGACGCUUGCCGUGCAGGCCAGAGCCCAGCCGCACAAAGAGAAACUGAGGCAUGGGGAGUGGCAGCCCCGCCCAGCUGUUAGGAAGAACGCCGCCCCCGUAAGAGGACAACAGCUCACCCGACGGUGAAGGAGAAAAGAAUUUUAUCAACAGUCUUGCAAGGACGGGUGCACAGCCUGGAUAAAAUGGCCAGUGCCAAACAACAAGAAACACUGGCGUUUAUCCCCUGAACCUGACACGCAGGCCCCUCUGCUGCUCCCCGUUGACUGGGCACUUCAGGGGUCGCAGCCUAUUCGAGAGAGCUAACCAAGCUACGCGGUUCCCGCUCUGAGUCGCGGCUCCCUGGCUCCCUGCGUUCCGGCCCGCUGGGUGGGCUCGGCGCUGCUUUCACUCCUGGUGCCGCUUUCACCAUUGGCCCCCUCGUUUUGGCCCCUUUUCAAAAUCUUGGCACCAGAGCUGCUCCCUCCAAAUGCCGGCUCUGGGGCUCUGGCUUCCCCUUCACGUGAAAAUUAAACUUAACACUUUCCUUACACGGCUCCUUCCGUCCCAGCACUCAGGCACCCCCACCUCCCAGUAGGGAGACUGCUGGCCCGAGAGGCCCGUGCCUGACACACAGCGGGUGGGGGGAGGGCCCUGUGUGGACAGCGUCACCCCCCGAAGCCUGGCCGCAGCCCCCCGAGGGAGGAGCCGCCUGACCCCCUCUGCGCCAGGACCACAG